rnacentral:lncRNA from 1 species
AGAGAAUUUUGCCCGGGAGCGCACCUAUAGGUCCUUCUGAACGAAGUCUCCAGGGAGAGAAAAAGAUAGUUUUGUUCUUGGCAUCCUGGCCUGGAGCAUCUGAGAAACAGCAAGUUUUCCCCAGACAUCGGUUCUGUAUUUCCCAUCGGAGCGAGUCCAGCAAAGAGCAGCAUGUUAAGACAUUAACUGCCCAAGGCUGUUUCCUUGGACUUCUUUGUCUGUGAAAUGAAGCAAAACUACACUGCUUGGAUGGAGUGAGAAAAGGACGAGCUCAGUGAGAGCAAGUGACUUUCCCAACAUUAUGGAGAGAGGAGAUGCUAUUACUGGUACCGUCCUGGACCAAGGUCAGCACACUUGGCUGACUAAGCUCAGGAGGCAGUAAGCAGGCUCUGAAAAGCAGUUGGGGGCAGUGCAUGCAGUCUCUUCAUUGUCAAAACAACAGUAGGCUUCAUGCAGCCAAAUGAGUUCUCUUUAAUACCUUGAAAGGACCCUGGAAAAGCCUUGGGCCUGCGCAGAGUGACAAGGCCAGGAGAAAUCCUUCACCCUGUCCGUCUUUACUUAGCACCUCCCGUUUUGAUGUGAAGUUUCUAGGUUUUGUCAUGGCCACUGUGGUUGCUAUAGAAACAGAGCAACAA